AUUGAACGCUGGCGGCAUGCCUUACACAUGCAAGUCGAACGGUAACAGGUCUUCGGAUGCUGACGAGUGGCGAACGGGUGAGUAAUACAUCGGAACGUGCCUAGUAGUGGGGGAUAACUACUCGAAAGAGUGGCUAAUACCGCAUGAGAUCUACGGAUGAAAGCAGGGGAUCGCAAGACCUUGUGCUACUAGAGCGGCCGAUGGCAGAUUAGGUAGUUGGUGGGAUAAAAGCUUACCAAGCCGACGAUCUGUAGCUGGUCUGAGAGGACGAUCAGCAACACUGGGACUGAGAAACGGCCCAGACUCCUACGGGAGGCAGCAGUGGGGAAUGUUGGACAAUGGGCGAAAGCCUGAUCCAGCAAUGCCGCGUGCAGGAUGAAGGCCUUCGGGUUGUAAACUGCUUUUGUACGGAACGAAAAGCCCCGGGUUAAUACCCUGGGGUCAUGACGGUACCGUAAGAAUAAGCACCGGCUAACUACGUGCCAGCCGCCGCUGUAA
rnacentral:rRNA from 1 species